rnacentral:snRNA from 1 species
UCACAAUCUUAAUCCACUUCUU